CCUACGGGUGGCAGCAGUGAGGAAUAUUGGUCAAUGGACGAGAGUCUGAACCAGCCAAGUAGCGUGAAGGAUGACUGCCCUAUGGGUUGUAAACUUCUUUUAUAUGGGAAUAAAAUGUUCCACGUGUGGGUUUUUGUAUGUACCAUAUGAAUAAGGAUCGGCUAACUCCGUGCCAGCAGCCGCGGUAAUACGGAGGGUCCGGACGUUAUCCGGAUUUAUUGGGGUUAAAGGGAGCGUAUGUGGAGUGUUAAGUCAGGUGUGAAAGUUUGGGGCUCAACCGUAAAAUUGCAGUUGAAACUGGCAGUCUUGAGUACAGUAGAGGUGGGCGGAAUUCGUGGUGUAGCGGUGAAAUGCUUAGAUAUCACGAAGAACUCCGAUUGCGAAGGCAGCUUACUGGACUGCAACUGACACUGAGGCUCGAAAGUGUGGGUAUCAAACAGGAUUAGAUACCCCAGUAGUC
rnacentral:rRNA from 1 species